ACGCCCGUUAGUGGGGAGUAGUCGGCUUGCGCCUCCCCGGCGCAAGAACCUGUGUCAACAUAAUCGGUCCACAGACCGUGGUGCAGGUGGCUUUAAACAGCUUGACGAGACCAUGAUCGAUGCGCGGCCUUGCAGGGCCGGAGCCGCGCUUUGAUCAUUGGUUAAUCGUU
rnacentral:sRNA from 2 species